ensembl:lncRNA
CCCGGGGUGACGUCCUCCUGUCCCUUGUCCACCGCCCGGAGCGUGACCUGCGGAGUGUGCAAGCGGCUUGCACGCCGGCGAGAAGUGAUUCUGUGAACUGGCUGAUGAGUAGCAGGGACCCCGGGGGGACCGAGCCGAGAACAGCAAGAGCUGAAAAUAGAACCACCUUGGGCUCCGGAGCAGGAAGCUGCCCAGGAGCGGUACUGAGGACUGACGCCGAGGGACGCUGGCGCCCCGCGGGUGGCCAUGGCGACGGGCCCCCUUCUCUAGGCUGGGGGCAGACUCUGAACAGGGUUUUGCUGUAUAGCCCAGGCUGGCCUUGAACUUACAGCGGAUCCUCCUGCCUCAGCCUCCCGAGUGCUGGGAUCCCAGGCGUGCCCAGUGUGGCCUUGCAGUCCCUUGCCUCGGGCCUCUGGGCAUCUGUUGGACAGCUCCAGUCCCAGCGCUGCCCUUUCUCCUGAGUUGGCUUCAGAAGAGGCAGCCCCUGAAGCACUCCCUUCAGAGAGGUCAGGACCGAAGGGUCUUGCUGUGUAGCUGUGGCUGGACUUGAACCAAGAGCAAUCCUCCUGCCUCAGCCUCCCGAGUGCUGGGAUGACAGGCGCCACCAUGCCCAGCUUAGAAACCAGCAUUUUAAAAGACCAGGUGCUGCAGUCGGAUGGGCCGGGGAUUUAGCUCAGUGGUUCCGGCACCUGCCUCACAAGCGCAAGGUCCCGAGUUCAAUCCCUGGUACCAAAAAAAAUACCAGGUGCUGCAGUCGGAGGGACCGUGCAGAUCAGCCAGACACAGCGCUUUCAGGUGCUUAGCCGGAGGCGAACAUGUUGAAUCUAACACGUAUAUUUUGGACCAGUUAUUGAAGGGUCCACUGCCGACAUGAACUCAGAAUAAAGCUAACUGUGCAGUGGCUGGGGAGGGGCACACGAAAACGAGUGUGCUCGGUGCAUGAAGUGAAGCGUGCGUGCGGGUGUCCGGCCCAGUGAAGGUUGCACCUCAGGGUCUUUGUGGGCUGGGCACCCAGUCCCUGUCUCUGUCCCUGUCCAGGAACUACGGCUCCCACUUUUGGCUGGGUGCCCAGGGCGGGGCCCAGCUUUUCCUUGCUGUAUUUUUUAAACCAUUUCAGGAGAAGAAAAAAGCAAAUCUAUAACCCUGGCUUCAAGUUUCCUGGAGGGCUGUGGCACAAGGUAGCUUUUCUUUUUUAACUCUGAUUUCUGCCCAUCCGAGGUUGCAGUCCUUCCUCCAGGGAGCUGGUUCAAGACAUCUCACACCUCCGCCUUCGCCCCUUCUCCUCCCUGUCUCUCCAUUGAGUCUUCAGAGCCUCUGGUGUGAAGCAGAGAUGCAGCAGGAGGCAGGCGCACAUGCUGCGCACUGCACAAGCAGAAGUGUCGCUCCCUGGCACUCUGACGGUGUCCUCAAGGAGUAGGCUGUGAGUUUCAGACUAGGAAAAGCUAUCCCAGAGAGCAGCGAGCUGAAAUCAGACUGCAGCUCAGCUCAGCAGCACUUCAGAUGCGUGGCCUUCAGCACCCCAUUCCUCAGCUCCCAGUGUUGGAUCCCCACUGCUGGCUCUGCAGGCUGUUGCCGUGUCUCCGUCCUCCAGAAGUACCUGCCUCCGAGGUGGGUCCUGUGCUCACGCAUGGGGCGAGGUCACGGUGUUUGCCACUUGACCACAGCCUGGACAUCAGCUCCCUCUCUGGAAGAACCUAGUUCCCACCCCGGUCCGCUUUGUCCCUCUCAGAUGCCAUGUACUUCCUCACUGUACAAGUCCAUACAGUCCCUUGUUCUUUAGUUAAAACAGUUUAACCUUUGUUUGGGGAUUUUUUUUCAGACAGGAUUUUGUUAUGUUUCCCAGGCUGGCCUUGAACUCAUGGCAAUCCUCCUGCCUCAGCCUCCUGAGUGCCAGGUUACAACAGUUUAAUUCUUACAAGAACAGUAUGUAUUUGAAAAAUGUUUCAAGUAGAUUUUACUUUUAAAAAAAAUUCCAAGGAGAAACAAAAUUGCAUUUUAAAGCAUUUAUUAGUUAUAAAAUAAUCAUUUAAAUUUUUUUUUCCUCGAGACUGCUUUCAAGUUGCACUGAGAGAAUGCUAAUGUAAAUAUUCACAAGAUAGUUGUUUGCUUUUUAUUAUUACAAAUGCUUAGUCUUUUUUUCCUUCCAAUUUAGAUAGAAAAAGUGAAAGAGAAAAACAUUGCCUAAAGGAAAUAGCCUUUACAAUGGACCUUUGACUUACGAACUCAGUCCGUUCCAGAGGGAUGGUUGUAACUCAGGUUGGUCAGUGGAGGCUCGGGCUCCCCUACACAGCCUUCACAGUCUCUCUCCUGCACACAGGCAGAUCUCAGUGUCCUCAGAGAGACACUGGCCGGGGAUUUCCCAGUGAGCCCCAUUCAGGAGAGGAUGCUGUCCUGUUCCUUCCAGACUCUUUAAGGGUUAAGUCUGCAUGUGAGACCAUCUGGAAGCACAGGUGGCCAGCAUUCAGGUCAUAACUCAAGACUUUGGUUGUAAGUUAAAACUAAAAUCCUGGUCAAGACCCAAGUUGUUCGUAUAUCAGGCCGGUUGUAACUCAAGGGCCCACUGUUGCACUAUUUACUGAGUGUCUGGCAGUUGCAUGGCUUCGCCGUGGGUCACCCCGAUGUCCUGUGGGCCCCAGGAGAAGCUCAGGACCAAGGCCUGGCGGGCACAGCACCAUCCCUGCUGCCUUUCCUUCGGCAGCUGGGGACGCCUCUGCCCUCAGUCGCUGUUCCGGUUCUGUGUGUAGGAGGAGCCAGCUGCUCUCUGGGAGCCUCUGGUCUGCCUGAAAGGCGCUGCCCCAUCAGUCUGGAGCAGAAAUCCAAGAACAAGCGCACCUGCCUGUCGGAUCUGCUCAGACAAAACAGCGGAGACCUCAAAACACAGCGGAAACGGCGAGUCACCGCCUCCAGAGGAUGCUCUGCCACUGAUUUCAGCCCAGACGCCCUGUGCCCCUCAGGAGCUGGAGUCCCUGAGUCAGCCAGAUGGCAGGGCUCGACUCAGGAAGUCAUCUGGGAGCCGCAGGUUCUGAUGCUGAGCCCAGGGAUAGAGCUGGCUGCUGCUCUCCGAGGGACCUCAGAGCCCGGCCCACACCUCGUGGGACCCACAGAGCCUCCUGGCUGCCCUGGCUCAGUUAUCACAGUGCUGAUGCUGUCCACUCUAAAGGUACAGUACUGUGAUAACUGAAGGAUGGCAGCCACCUUGCUGCCCGAGGUGCCCGGAACCACAGAGGAGGAGGAGGAAGAAGGGGCCCAGUGAUGGCCCCGAAACCCAUGCGCAGCCCCUGGCUGGAGAGAAGGUUAUUCUGGCUCUUCGCUGUGCUUUGUUCAUUUUUGGGUUUUUUUGAGUUAGGUCGCCAUGCCGUUCAAACUGGCCUUGAAGUCACUGGAGCCCAGGCUGGUCCUGGACUCGAGGUGAACCUCCUGCCUCAGCCUCCUGCGUGCUAGGGUUGCCCCAGCCCUGCUCUCCUUGUCUCGUUUUAUAACAUGGGCAGAAAACUCGAGGUGGUUUGUUGGCAAACACGGAAGGGCCAGGAACCUUGAGUCUUCAGGGGUCAUCGCUGGGGAUGUACCGGGUAUGAGUCAGGGGGCCGGGCAUGGCAGUGCCCGCCUGUAAUCCCAGACUCGGGAGGCUGAGGCAGGAGGACUUCUGGGAGUUCAAGGCCAGUGUCCAGUUGCCGUGUCUCUGGGGAUUGGACAGCGACCUGUCUGUCCUGUGUCCGGAGAGAUUUACAUCACAUCUUCUCCCAAAAGUGUGUACUGUUACUGCUGCUGUUGUCACCUUUCAUAUGAAAAUAAAGUGUGAAGUUAUUUCAUUUUGUCACAUAAAGAAGGACCACUCUGGGAGCUGGGUGUGGGGG